rnacentral:rRNA from 1 species
UCUUAUGUACAUGCCUACAACGUUAAUGCAAUGGAUCCCAUUAUAACUCCAUAUUUAAGCAUGUUUGGGCUAGAGAAGGACUUAGAUGGGUGGCCUCUUGGGAAGUCCUAGUGUUUUACAUGUC